rnacentral:rRNA from 1 species
GACGAACGCUGGCGGCGUGCUUAACACAUGCAAGUCGUACGGUAAGGCCCUUUCGGGGGUCCCCGAGUGGCGAACGGGUGCGUAACACGUGAGUAACCUGCCCACAACUUUGGGAUAACGCUAGGAAACUGGUGCUAAUACUGGAUAUGUGCUCCUGCUGCAUGGUGGGGGUUGGAAAGCUCCGGCGGUUGUGGAUGGACUCGCGGCCUAUCAGCUUGUUGGUGGGGUAGUGGCCUACCAAGGCGGCGACGGGUAGCCGGCCUGAGAGGGUGACCGGCCACAUUGGGACUGAGAGACGGCCCAGACUCCUACGGGAGGCAGCAGUGGGGAAGAUUGCACAAUGGGCGCAAGCCUGAUGCAGCAACGCCGCGUGCGGGAUGACGGCCUUCGGGUUGUAAACCGCUUUCAGCAGGGACGAAGCUUUUUGUGACGGUACCUGCAGAAGAAGCACCGGCUAACUACGUG